rnacentral:misc_RNA from 1 species
GUGAGUCAUCGAAUCUUUGAACGCACAUUGCGCCCGCCAGUAUUCUGGCGGGCAUGCCUGUUCGAGCGUCAUUUCAACCAUCAAGCCCCCGGGCUUGCGUUGGGGCCCUGCGGCUGCCGCAGGCCCUUAAAAGUAGUGGCGGGCUCGCUGUCACACCGAGCGCAGUAGCGAUAUUCGCUCCGGGCGUCGGCGGCGGGCACCGGCCGUGAAACCCCCCAUUUCUCAAGGUUGACCUCGGAUCAGGUAGGAAUACCCGCUGAACUUAAGCAUAUCAAUAAGCGGAGGA